rnacentral:rRNA from 1 species
AACGAACGCUGGCGGCAGGCCUAACACAUGCAAGUCGAACGCCCCGCAAGGGGAGUGGCAGACGGGUGAGUAACACGUGGGAACCUUCCCAACAGUACGGAAUAGCCCAGGGAAACUUGGAGUCAUACCGUAUAUUCCCGAGAGGGGAAAGAUUUAUCGCUGUUGGAUGGGCCCGCGUCGGAUUAGCUAGUUGGUGAGGUAACGGCUCACCAAGGCGACGAUCAGUAGCUGGUUUGAGAGAAUGACCAGCCACACUGGGACUGAGACACGGCCCAGACUCCUACGGGAGGCAGCAGUGGGGAAUCUUGGACAAUGGGCGCAAGCCUGAUCCAGCCAUGCCGCGUGAGUGACGAGGGCCUUAGGGUUGUAAAGCUCUUUUGCCGGGGACGAUAAUGACGGUACCCGGAGAAUAAGUCCCGGCUAACCUCGUGCCAGCCGCCGCGGUAACAC